rnacentral:rRNA from 1 species
AUUGAACGCUGGCGGCAGGCUUAACACAUGCAAGUCGAGCGGAGAGAGGUAGCUUGCUACUGAUCUUAGCGGCGGACGGGUGAGUAAUGCUUAGGAAUCUGCCUAUUAGUGGGGGACAACAUUUCGAAAGGAAUGCUAAUACCGCAUACGUCCUACGGGAGAAAGCAGGGGAUCUUCGGACCUUGCGCUAAUAGAUGAGCCUAAGUCGGAUUAGCUAGUUGGUGGGGUAAAGGCCUACCAAGGCGACGAUCUGUAGCGGGUCUGAGAGGAUGAUCCGCCACGCUGGGACUGAGACACGGCCCAGACUCCUACGGGAGGCAGCAGUGGGGAAUAUUGGACAAUGGGCGGAAGCCUGAUCCAGCCAUGCCGCGUGUGUGAAGAAGGCCUUUUGGUUGUAAAGCACUUUAAGCGAGGAGGAGGCUCUUAAGGUUAAUACCCUUGAUGAGUGGACGUUACUCGCAGAAUAAGCACCGGCUAACUACGUGCCAGCCGCCGCGGUAAAAC